rnacentral:rRNA from 1 species
GUGGGGAAUUUUGGACAAUGGGGGCAACCCUGAUCCAGCCAUGCCGCGUGCGGGAAGAAGGCCUUCGGGUUGUAAACCGCUUUUGUCAGGGAAGAAAUCCUUUGGGUUAAUACCUCGGAGGGAUGACGGUACCUGAAGAAUAAGCACCGGCUAACUACGUGCCAGCAGCCGCGGUAAUACGUAGGGUGCGAGCGUUAAUCGGAAUUACUGGGCGUAAAGCGUGCGCAGGCGGUUUUGUAAGAUCGAUGUGAAAUCCCCGGGCUCAACCUGGGAACUGCAUUGGUGACUGCAAGGCUGGAGUGCGGCAGAGGGGGAUGGAAUUCCGCGUGUAGCAGUGAAAUGCGUAGAUAUGCGGAGGAACACCGAUGGCGAAGGCAAUCCCCUGGGCCUGCACUGACGCUCAUGCACGAAAGCGUGGGGAGCAAACAGGAUUAGAUACCCCAGUAGUCC